rnacentral:rRNA from 1 species
GACGAACGCUGGCGGCGUGCCUAACACAUGCAAGUCGAACGGGGUUGUUCCUUCGGGGACAACUUAGUGGCGAACGGGUGAGUAACGCGUGAGGAACCUGCCUUUCAGUGGGGGACAACAGUUGGAAACGACUGCUAAUACCGCAUAAUGUUGUCGGAUGGCAUCAUCUGACAACCAAAGCUUUAUGUGCUGAAAGAUGGCCUCGCGUCUGAUUAGAUAGUUGGUGAGGUAACGGCUCACCAAGUCGACGAUCAGUAGCCGGACUGAGAGGUUGAACGGCCACAUUGGGACUGAGAUACGGCCCAGACUCCUACGGGAGGCAGCAGUGGGGAGUAUUGGGCAAUGGGGGAAACCCUGACCCAGCAACGCCGCGUGAAGG